GCCUCGGUAGCUCAGUUGGUAGAGCAGAGGACUGAAAAUCCUCGUGUCGGCGGUUCGAUUCCGCCCUGAGGCA
rfam:Thermosinus carboxydivorans Nor1 ctg48, whole genome shotgun sequence.